AUUGAACGCUGGCGGCAGGCUUAACACAUGCAAGUCGAGCGAGCGGCGGACGGGAGAGUAAUGUCUGGGAAACUGCGUGAUGGAGGGGGAUAACUACUGGAAACGGUAGAUAACACCGCAAACGAUCAGCUGUGCCCAGAUGGGUUUAGCUAGUCGGUGGGGUAAGGGCUCACCUAGGCGACGAUCCCUGGCUGGUCUGAGAGGCUGACGAGCCACACUGGAACUGAGACACGGUCCAGACUCCUACGGUAGGCAGCAGUGGGGAAUAUUGCACAAUGGGCGCAAGCCUGAUGCAGCCAUGCCGCGUGUGUGAAGAAGGCCUUCGGGUUGUAAAGCACUUUCAGCGAGGAGGCGUUACUCGCAGAAGAAGCACCGGCUAACUCCGUGCCAGCAGCCGCGGUAAUUC
rnacentral:rRNA from 1 species